rnacentral:rRNA from 1 species
UACGUAGGGUGCAAGCGUUAAUCGGAAUUACUGGGCGUAAAGCGUGCGCAGGCGGUUUUGUAAGUCUGACGUGAAAUCCCCGGGCUCAACCUGGGAAUUGCGUUGGAGACUGCAAGGCUAGAAUCUGGCAGAGGGGGGUAGAAUUCCACGUGUAGCAGUGAAAUGCGUAGAGAUGUGGAGGAACACCGAUGGCGAAGGCAGCCCCCUGGGUCAAGAUUGACGCUCAUGCGCGAAAGCGUGGGGAGCAAACAGG